AUGAUAUUUUGAGUUGAUCUAGAUAUGACAUCGUCCUGAAAACGAAACGGAACAAAAGUUCAAGAUAUUGAUUUCGAAUCGUUUAUCAGGAUGAUGUGAUUAAAAUCAACUCGGACGGUAAGCGAG
rnacentral:precursor_RNA from 15 species